AUGGCGUCGAUGAUGGGAGGAGACUUCGUGGAGGCCUACGUGCUCAGGAACGCCUACAAGGAGAAGCUGAGGCGCAUGGACCAAGCGGAAGCCGCGGCGGCGCUCGGCGGCGCCAAGAGCAGCACGGAGAAGGUGGCCGCCGGGGCCGCCGGAGAGAAGAAGGCUGCUGCUGGUGGCGGUGCGAGCACCAGGGGGCGAUUCUUUGGCCUCAUGAAGAAGAAGGUGCACCCCAAACCCAAGGCGGCGCCCACUUCCCCUUGA
rnacentral:rRNA from 1 species